CUCAGGACGAACGCUGGCGGCGUGCUUAACACAUGCAAGUCGAGCGAUGAAGCUCCUUCGGGAGUGGAUUAGCGGCGGACGGGUGAGUAACACGUGGGUAACCUACCUCAAAGAGGGGGAUAGCCUCCCGAAAGGGAGAUUAAUACCGCAUAAUAAUCAGUUUUCACAUGGAAAUUGAUUUAAAGGAGUAAUCCGCUUUGAGAUGGACCCGCGGCGCAUUAGCUAGUUGGUAGGGUAACGGCCUACCAAGGCGACGAUGCGUAGCCGACCUGAGAGGGUGAUCGGCCACAUUGGAACUGAGAGACGGUCCAGACUCCUACGGGAGGCAGCAGUGGGGAAUAUUGCACAAUGGGCGAAAGCCUGAUGCAGCAACGCCGCGUGAGUGAAGAAGGUUUUCGGAUUGUAAAGCUCUGUCUUCUGGGACGAUAAUGACGGUACCAGAGGAGGAAGCCACGGCUAACUACGUGCCAGCAGCCGCGGUAAUACGUAGGUGGCAAGCGUUGUCCGGAUUUACUGGGCGUAAAGGAUGUGUAGGCGGAUAUUUAAGUGAGAUGUGAAAUCCCCGGGCUUAACUUGGGGGCUGCAUUUCAAACUGGAUGUCUAGAGUGCAGGAGAGGAAAGCAGAAUUCCUAGUGUAGCGGUGAAAUGCGUAGAGAUUAGGAAGAAUACCAGUGGCGAAGGCGGCUUUCUGGACUGUAACUGACGCUGAGGCAUGAAAGCGUGGGGAGCAAACAGGAUUAGAUACCCUGGUAGUCC
rnacentral:rRNA from 1 species